rnacentral:rRNA from 1 species
UACGUAGGGGGCAAGCGUUGUCCGGAUUUAUUGGGCGUAAAGAGCGUGUAGGCGGCCAUACAGGUCAGCUGUGAAAACUCGAGGCUCAACCUCGAGAUGUCGGCGGAAACCACUUGGCUAGAGUCCGGAAGAGGAGAGUGGAAUUCCCGGUGUAGCGGUGAAAUGCGCAGAUAUCGGGAAGAACACCUAUGGCGAAGGCAGCUCUCUGGGACGGUACUGACGCUGAGACGCGAAAGCGUGGGGAGCGAACAGG